UACGUAGGUGACCAGCGUUUGUCCGGAUUUACUGGGCGUAAAGAGCGCGCAGGCGGUCGUUCAAGUCGAGUGUGAAAGCCCCCGGCUCAACUGGGGAGGGUCACGCGAUACUGAUCGACUCGAAGGCAGGAGAGGGAAGUGGAAUUCCCCGGUGUAGUGGUGAAAUGCGUAGAUAUCGGGAGGAACACCAGUGGCGAAGGCGACUUCCUGGCCUGUUCUUGACGCUGAGGCGCGAAAGCUAGGGGAGCAAACGGG
rnacentral:rRNA from 1 species